rnacentral:lncRNA from 1 species
CUUCCGGAGAGGACGCGAAGGGGUUAACUUCUGGUCUGUUGUUUCCAUUCUGUCUCCGCCUCCCACCCCCGCGUCCCCCUCCCGCGGGACCUCUGGGAUUGGUUGGCACUCUGCCAUCAGGCUGUCAAUCAUUGAGUGUAAACAAGGCGCUGAUUGGCUGUUGUCCAGUCCGCAAUGGGCCUCCUGAAAAAAGCAAUUACUGCCUCCGCGGUUUCAAGGCGGCCCAAGGCCGCUUGAUGAAAGGAGAUAAGCUGGGGACAGUUUCCAGGAUCCCCGCGGGCCGACCGGGGCUGCCCGGGAGCGGAGGUGCGGCGGAGAGUCCGAGGAUCAAAGGAAUCCACAGAGAAAAGGGAAGCGGGCGGACAUCCUGGCUAGCCUGGCCCCCCGCGGGCUGCGCUGACCUGAGGUAGGGUCACCCUGGGUUUAGGUUGGGACCUACCUGAAGCUCAGACAGCAGAGGAGAAGCCACCUGAAGACAGAGACAGAGGCUUGGCUCAGCCGAGGAGCAGCAGGGCCCCCAGCAGCAGGCAGGACAGGAAGUGUCCUCCUCGGGAGCCUCCAGAGCAAACUGGCACCUUGAUUUAGGUCUUCUGGGCCUCAGAACUAUGAAAGAAUAAAUUUUUAUUACUUUAAGUUACCCAAUUUGUGGAAAUUUGUUACAACAGCCCAAGGAAACCCAAACAAUACUUUUAAAAUUCAGAAGGUUGCCAGGCAUGAGUGUGUACACUUAUAAUCCCAGCACUCUGGGAGGCCGAGGCAGGAGGAUCACAAGUUCAAGACUAAGCCGGGC